rnacentral:tRNA from 1 species
GGCCAGUUAGCUCAGUCAGUUGAGCACGGUACUGAUAACACCAAGGCUGCGGGUUCGAUUCCCGUUCGGUCCC